UACAGAGGUCUCAAGCGUUGUUCGGAUUCAUUGGGCGUAAAGGGUGUGUAGGUGGCGCCGUUAGUCGGGUGUGAAAUUUCGGAGCUUAACUCCGAAACUGCAUUCGAUACUGCGGUGCUUGAGGACUGGAGAGGAGACUGGAAUUCAUGGUGUAGCAGUGAAAUGCGUAGAGAUCAUGAGGAAGACCAGUGGCGAAGGCGGGUCUCUGGACAGUUCCUGACACUGAGACACGAAGGCCAGGGGAGCAAACGGGG
rnacentral:rRNA from 1 species